rnacentral:rRNA from 1 species
UACGAAGGGGGCUAGCGUUGUUCGGAAUUACUGGGCGUAAAGCGCACGUAGGCGGACUUUUAAGUCAGGGGUGAAAUCCCGGGGCUCAACCUCGGAACUGCCUUUGAUACUGGAAGGCUUGAGUAUGGAAGAGGUAAGUGGAAUUGCGAGUGUAGAGGUGAAAUUCGUAGAUAUUCGCAGGAACACCAGUGGCGAAGGCGGCUUACUGGUCCAUUACUGACGCUGAGGUGCGAAAGCGUGGGGAGCAAACAGG